rnacentral:rRNA from 1 species
GACGAACGCUGGCGGCGUGCCUAAUACAUGCAAGUCGAACGCAAGUGCGAACGGGGGAGUAACGCGUAGGUACCUACCUAUUAGAGGGGGAUAACUAUUGGACACGAUAGCUAAUACCGCAUACUAGUAGAUGGACCUGCGUUGUAUUGGCUUGUAGGUAGGGUAAUGGCCUACCUAGGCAACGAUACAUAGCCGAACGGCGAGGGUGAUCGGCCACACUGGGAGUGAGACACGGCCCAGAAGCCUACGGGAAGCAGCAAUAGGGAAUCUUCGGGAAUGGGGGGAACACUGUGCGCGCAACGCCGCGUGAUGGAAGAAGGUUUUCGGAUGGGAAAUCUCUGUUGUUAAGGAAGCGGUACUUAAACAGGAAGGGACGGCUAACUACGUGCCAGCAGCCGCGGUAAUUC